rnacentral:tRNA from 1 species
GGUCCCGUGGUGUAGUGGUUAGCACUCAGGACUCUGAAUAUACUGGGACGGGAGUUCAAAUCUCUCCGAGACCU